UUUCAAGAUUUCCGCAUUUUGCAACGUUUUCAUACGCGUUAAAAUGCCUGAACACGGAAAGCUUGCGGCGUCCGUAAGCCGGGGAAGCGCGUGCGUCAAAUUCGUUGCGUCUCGUUGUGUAUAAUCCUGAAGCGUGUCCACGGCAGGAAUUAAUCCAACAAGAUGAACAUCGGGCUCUGCCGCUAGCGAAAAAGCGGCGGCUGUGUGAGCCGUCAUAAACGGGCCGUCUUUGCCAGACCCUUGGAUCGUUCCUCGGAUUCUGAAGGCUGAAUUGAGCAGAGUGUCUGAGGGAACGCCCGACAUGGUUGCUCGAUUCAAUGCUGCUCGAAGCGCCUUUUGCGGCGAGACAGUCAAUGUUUGAGCGUGGGGACUGCAGUGAGAGGGUUGGAUGCGCAAAAACGGUCCAACAGCGCUCUCUAGUGGAGGGCACAGUCCCUGGCAAGCAGCGAGAAUAUCAGGAGCUGCUAUUAGGAGCCCGAGAACGAGAGGCAUUAGCCGUCGAGCUCAGGUCCAAUCUUUUCCGCUGUCGCUGGCGAGCGCCAUAGGCGAAGGCUCUUCUCGUGAGGCAGCCCGUUGGCGGUUUGAGGAGGUUGAACGAGACCGCGCGGGCGCCUGCCGCCGUUCAAUCUCCCUGGGCCUGCGUGGAAUCAGCUGGCGGAAAGCGGCUGAUUGCUGUUUCGCUGCCCUAAAUUUAUCCACCACCGACGUGACCGCCUCACCAAACAAACCGUCCUUAGAAACAGGGGCGUCCAUGAGAAAGGAUUUGUCCUUUUCUUUGAUAUCGGUGAGAUUAAGCCAGAGGUGGCGCUCAACCGUAAUCAACCCAGCCAUAGAACGGCCCACUGCCCGAGCAGUAUGUUUGGUAGCGCGUAGCGCCAAAUCUGUUGCUCGUCGCAGCUCUUUCACAGCCUCGGGUGUGAUACCCUCCCCCUCGUCGAGGUCCUUUAAGAGCUCCGCUUGGUAGGCCUGGAGGACCGCCAUAGAGUGGAGCGAUGCGGCCGCCUGGCCAGCAGCCAUGUAGGAUUUCCCGACGAGGCUAGACGUGACUCGACACGCCUUUGAAGGAAGAAGGGGGCGAGACUUCCAUGCCGUGGAUGAAUUAGGCGCGAGAUGUUCGGCGAGAGUCUCUUCCACCGGAGGCAUCGCUGCAUAGCCACGGUUCGCCAUAUCGGAAAUGGUGGCGAAAUCCGCAGCCGCAGCGUUCGUAAUGCGCGCCGAGUAAGGCUGUUUCCAGGACCUCGAAACCUCUUGGUGGAGGUCCGGGAAAAAAGGCAGGGGCCAACGGGGCUGUGCAGGAGUACGACUGGUUAAGAAACGGUCGUCCAGCUUCGAUGAAGGUUGGGCCUCGGCCUUCUCAACCUCCCAAUCCAGUCCCAGCUUACCCACCGCGCGAGAAACCACAUCCAACAGCUCGCUGUAGGAGGGGGAAACACGCUUCUCCUGUCCGCUAGUAGGGAGAGGGCUGUCAGUAUCGGCCAUGAAGUCCUCAGACUCCGAGGCCGCGGUGGAUAAGACAUCGUCGUCAUACUGCCCACAACUGAAGGAGAUAGCAUCGUAUGCCUCCGGG
ensembl:lncRNA